rnacentral:snRNA from 1 species
UCAACGUUAUUUACAGUUUAU